GUCAGCCGUUCCUCAAGGGAGGCGCGAUGGCGAUCAGGGUUUAGGGACGGCGACUGGCGGGCAAGCGGCAGGCAGGUUGGUGAGCGCCACAGCUAGUGCAGCCUGUCAGUCGGCGGGCAAGUGCGCCCUGGCUGCCUGCCUUUCUCUUGAACAAGAUCGAAUCGGACUUGUUGUCUCGCGCUUUAAUAAUACAGCGGAUGCCUGUCGACCUGUCUCUUCUCUUGGACAAGAUCGGACUCGUCGUCGCUCCCGGCGGCUGCCUGCCGGGCUGCCUCUUCCCUUGAACAAGAUCGGACUCGUCGUCGCACCCGGCGGCUACCUGCCGUCCUGCGGCCACGCACGGACGGCAGUGAAAGGCACUCUGCAAAAUCUGGAUCACCCCUUUAUUGGUGAGCACGUAGGCGUACCUUUCCCAGCGGCAGCAGAGAGCAGGGCGGCGUGUGUAGUUUUACUUUAAUUAAAAACUUGCGCGGCAGCAAGAGGAGGAAGGCAAAAGACAGUCGUUCGUCGUGUGUUGGUCUUGGAUGCGCCUGCCACGACAAACAGAAGAGUGGUAAAAAGAAUUCAAGAAAUUUAUAUACAUUUGCUGGCACAUCUAAAGGAGAAAUGGCACCCUGUCCAUGUACGAGAUGUCGUACAAUAUCCUACCGAACAAUUAAAGAAGUUAGAACUCAUUUGAUUUUUAGAGGGUUUUUUGAAAGUUUUAUCCAAGGAGAAGGAGAAUAAAAGAUUCAUUUGAGGGCAUCGGUGAAGUGGUUGGCAAUGAUGGUGCAACAGGUGAUUGUGAUUUCUAUGAGGAAUCUGGUUUCCUCACUAAUCAAUGGUGCAAUACAUGGAGACAUCAUGGAUAGUGAAACUGAAGAGCCGAAUGGAAGUGCUAAGACAUUCUUUAAAUUAUUAACAGAAGCGCAGAGGGAACUUUAUCCAAGUUGCAAGGAGGUUACUAAGGUCACUAUCUUAGUAACAGUGCAUUAGAGUCCAUUCUUCAGCUGUUCUCACUUGUGCUUCCUGAAGGUCACUGUGUUUAAGAUACUUUAGAGAAAGUGCAAAAGUUAGUCCGUGAUCUUGGCCUGGACUAUCAAAAGAUACAUGCAUGCAUCAAUGGUUGUAUUUUAUUUCGGAAGGAAUACGUUGACAUGGAUACAUGUCCAACAUGUGGUGAGUCUAGAUGGAAAACGACCGAUUCAAGUGAAAAGGAGGCAUCGAGUAGUGAUGCUGCAUUGAAGAAGCGUGUUCCACAUAAAUUCUUGAGCAGGAUAUUUGAACUUAAAUGGAUCACUUGAACUUGGAUGCCUUUCAUGGUCAACACAAGGAAUCAUGCAGUGCCAACCAGUGUUUGAUGUAGCCUACAUAAGAUAGACAUCGUCGUAGUGUUGAUUACCGAACACAAGCUAUCUAUGAACUAUUUUCAACUCGGAUAAUGUAUUGGGCACUUUACGUACUAUCUUUUACUGAUCGGCACAAUUGAUGAUGGAUUCAUUUCAUAUUCAUGAUGAUACAAUUCAUGUUUUUGCACAA